rnacentral:rRNA from 1 species
ACGAACGCUGGCGGCGUGCCUAAUACAUGCAAGUAGAACGCUGAAGAGAGUAGCUUUCUCUUCUUGGAUGAUUUGCGAACGGGUUAUUAACGCGUAGGUAACCUGCCUUUUAGCGGGGGAUAACUAUUGGAAACGAUAUCUAAUACCGCAUAACAAUGGAUGACACUUGUCAUUUAUUUGAAAUUGGCAAUUGCUCCACUACAUGAUGGACCUGCGUUGUAUUAGCUAGUAGGUGAGGUAAUGGCUCACCUAGGCGACGAUACAUAGCCGACCUGAGAGGGUGAUCGGCCAAACUGGGACUGAGACACGGCCCAGACUCCUAAGGGAGGCAGCAGUAGGGAAACUUCGGCAAUGGGGGCAAACCUGACCGAGCAACGCCGCGUGAGUGAAGAAGGUUUUCGGAUCGGAAAGCUCUGUUGUAAGUCAAGAACGGGUGUGAGAGUGGAAAGUUCACACUGUGACGGUAGCUUACCAGAAAGGGACGGCUAACUACGUG